AGAGUUGCACCAAACAGAGAAUCACAUGAAUCAUGCCAUUAAAGUUCACAAAAAGCUCACAAAAAGCAACCAAGGGUAGGAGGCCUAAACCUCUUGUCAAACAAAUGCAUUAAAAGGGUAUCAAAACCCAAAGUCAGGGGGCAAGGAUCCACACAUCAAGACAUGACAUACAUACUAAAACAUGUGCCCACAUGCAAAACCUAACGAU
rnacentral:lncRNA from 1 species